rnacentral:rRNA from 1 species
GACGAACGCUGGCGGCGUGCUUAACACAUGCAAGUCGAGCGGUAAGGCCCUUUCGGGGGUACACGAGCGGCGAACGGGUGAGUAACACGUGGGUGACCUACCCUCAGCUCUGGGAUAAGCCUGGGAACCGGGUCUAAUACCGGAUAUGACUCCAUGACGCAUGUUGUGGGGUGGAAAGCCUUGUGCGGCUGAGGAUGGGCCCGCGGCCUAUCAGCUUGUUGGUGGGGUGAUGGCCUACCAAGGCGACGACGGGUAGCCGGCCUGAGAGGGCGACCGGCCACACUGGGACUGAGACACGGCCCAGACUCCUACGGGAGGCAGCAGUGGGGAAUCUUGCGCAAUGGGCGAAAGCCUGACGCAGCGACGCCGCGUGAGGGAUGACGGCCUGGUGUAAC